AAGAGUAUACUCGUAGAUUUGUUUUCCUUCCGCGCCCCUUGUCCGGACGCAACACUCCCCGGACAGGAUCCCCCCGGGCAGCAUUUGGUCACCUUCACAUUGGUUGGGAGUGGAAACUCGGCAUUUUUUCGCAGGGGAACCUGCGGAGGGAUCAUUACCGAGUUUACAACUCCCAAACCCAAUGUGAACGUUACCAAACUGUUGCCUCGGCGGGAUCUCUGCCCCGGGUGCGUCGCAGCCCCGGACCAAGGCGCCCGCCGGAGGACCAACCAAAACUCUUUUUGUAUACCCCCUCGCGGGUUUUUUAUAAUCUGAGCCUUCUCGGCGCCUCUCGUAGGCGUUUCGAAAAUGAAUCAAAACUUUCAACAACGGAUCUCUUGGUUCUGGCAUCGAUGAAGAACGCAGCGAAAUGCGAUAAGUAAUGUGAAUUGCAGAAUUCAGUGAAUCAUCGAAUCUUUGAACGCACAUUGCGCCCGCCAGUAUUCUGGCGGGCAUGCCUGUCCGAGCGUCAUUUCAACCCUCGAACCCCUCCGGGGGGUCGGCGUUGGGGAUCGGCCCUGCCUCUUGGCGGUGGCCGUCUCCGAAAUACAGUGGCGGUCUCGCCGCAGCCUCUCCUGCGCAGUAGUUUGCACACUCGCAUCGGGAGCGCGGCGCGUCCACAGCCGUUAAACACCCAACUUCUGAAAUGUGACCUCGGAUCAGUAGAUGCCCCAUCAG
rnacentral:rRNA from 1 species